GACGAACGCUGGCGGCGUGCCUAAUACAUGCAAGUAGAACGCUGAAGAGAGGAGCUUGCUCUUCUUGGAUGAGUUGCGAACGGGUGAGUAACGCGUAGGUAACCUGCCUUGUAGCGGGGGAUAACUAUUGGAAACGAUAGCUAAUACCGCAUAACAAUGGAUGACACAUGUCAUUUAUUUGAAAGGGGCAAUUGCUCCACUACAAGAUGGACCUGCGUUGUAUUAGCUAGUAGGUGAGGUAACGGCCCACCUAGGCGACGAUACAUAGCCGACCUGAGAGGGUGAUCGGCCACACUGGGACUGAGACACGGCCCAGACUCCUACGGGAGGCAGCAGUAGGGAAUCUUCGGCAAUGGGGGCAACCCUGACCGAGCAACGCCGCGUGAGUGAAGAAGGUUUUCGGAUCGUAAAGCUCUGUUGUAAGUCAAGAACGAGUGUGAGAGUGGAAAGUUCACACUGUGACGGUAGCUUACCAGAAAGGGACGGCUAACUACGUGCCAGCAGCCGCGGUAAUACGUAGGUCCCGAGCGUUGUCCGGAUUUAUUGGGCGUAAAGCGAGCGCAGGCGGUUUGAUAAGUCUGAAGUUAAAGGCUGUGGCUCAACCAUAGUUCGCUUUGGAAACUGUCAAACUUGAGUGCAGAAGGGGAGAGUGGAAUUCCAUGUGUAGCGGUGAAAUGCGUAGAUAUAUGGAGGAACACCGGUGGCGAAAGCGGCUCUCUGGUCUGUAACUGACGCUGAGGCUCGAAAGCGUGGGGAGCGAACAGGAUUAGAUACCCUGGUAGUCCACGCCGUAAACGAUGAGUGCUAGGUGUUGGAUCCUUUCCGGGAUUCAGUGCCGCAGCUAACGCAUUAAGCACUCCGCCUGGGGAGUACGACCGCAAGGUUGAAACUCAAAGGAAUUGACGGGGGCCCGCACAAGCGGUGGAGCAUGUGGUUUAAUUCGAAGCAACGCGAAGAACCUUACCAGGUCUUGACAUCCCGAUGCUAUUUCUAGAGAUAGAAAGUUACUUCGGUACAUCGGUGACAGGUGGUGCAUGGUUGUCGUCAGCUCGUGUCGUGAGAUGUUGGGUUAAGUCCCGCAACGAGCGCAACCCCUAUUGUUAGUUGCCAUCAUUCAGUUGGGCACUCUAGCGAGACUGCCGGUAAUAAACCGGAGGAAGGUGGGGAUGACGUCAAAUCAUCAUGCCCCUUAUGACCUGGGCUACACACGUGCUACAAUGGUUGGUACAACGAGUUGCGAGUCGGUGACGGCAAGCUAAUCUCUUAAAGCCAAUCUCAGUUCGGAUUGUAGGCUGCAACUCGCCUACAUGAAGUCGGAAUCGCUAGUAAUCGCGGAUCAGCACGCCGCGGUGAAUACGUUCCCGGGCCU
rnacentral:rRNA from 1 species